ACAGCAGUCGCCGCGGGAAUACGUAGGGUGCAAGCGUUAAUCGGAAUUACUGGGCGUAAAGCGUGCGCAGGCGGUUAUAUAAGUCAGAUGUGAAAUCCCCGGGCUCAACCUGGGAACUGCAUUUGAGACUGUAUGGCUAGAGUGUGUCAGAGGGGGGUAGAAUUCCACGUGUAGCAGUGAAAUGCGUAGAUAUGUGGAGGAAUACCGAUGGCGAAGGCAGCCCCCUGGGAUAGCACUGACGCUCAUGCACGAAAGCGUGGGGAGCAAACAGGAUUAGAUACCCGCGUAGUCCCUGUCUCUUAUAC
rnacentral:rRNA from 1 species